rnacentral:misc_RNA from 1 species
AGGCUUUAAAACGAAAGAGCAGUAUAAAAAUGGCAAUUCGUGUUAUAUCAACGCUAGCGGAGCUUCAGGUUCUCACACGUCAGCCCAAACUGACAGUGGUUGAUUUUUUUGCAACAUGGUGUGGGCCGUGCAAGGUAAUUGCCCCUCUCCUCGAGAACCUCGCUUCCAGAAAGCAGCACGUCAAUUUCGCAAAAGUGGAUGUCGACCGCACGCCUGAUGUCAUACGUGACUACCCUGUUCGCGCAAUGCCCACAUUCUACUUUUUCAGGGAUGGAAAUGUGGUGGCUACAUUUGAAGGUGCUGACAUAAACUCUGUGACACAGCUUGUGCAGCAGCACGAAGUGAUUCCACCUCCUGCUAUCCCGUCGGAUAAGGAGCUGGAUGCAAUGAAGCCGAGAGACCUGCUUUCGUUGAUGCGGCAGCAUCACAUUUCAACCACAGGCCUGAUGGAGAAAAGCGAGCUCAUCGAGGAGAUCAGAAAGUAUCGCAGGUGAUGCUGCUGCCAAAGGAAUGCAAAAGGCAGUCUUUGUUCUCCUUGUUUCUCUUAUGUUGGCAUUGUGUUGUAUCCACAGCUAUUUUGACGGAGGCAUUUGGAAGCAGAGCAACAGCACAAAAAAAAACGAAAAAAAAAAGAUACGGUUGAUGCAGUCCAGCUAAAGGCCACAAUUAAAUUAGAAAACGCUUGCGCGCCACAUGUGGAGAACGUGAUGCCUUGCCAGGAAUGCUGACGUCUUAUGCUCCAGCCGCAAUGCAAAUAUCCUUUGGCUUGCUAUCUAGCGCCCGAUGUGCGUGCGACGCUUCACACCUCAUCACAUCUCUCCCUUCUGCGUCUAGCUACUUCUUUAG